rnacentral:lncRNA from 1 species
AUUUCAAUAUUGAACCUUGGACAUAUAAGAGUUACGAAUCGAAUCUCUUUAGAAAGAAGAUCUUAUGUCUCAUGGUAGCCUGCUCCAGUCCCCUUACGAAACUUUCGUUAUUGGGUUAGCCAUACACUUCACAUGUUUCUAGCGAUUCACAUGGCAUCAUCAAACUUGGACAUAUAAGAGUUACGAAUCGAAUCUCUUUAGAAAGAAGAUCUUUUGUCUCAUGGUAGCCUACUCCAGUCCCCGUACGAAACUUUCGUUAUUGGGUUAUCUAUGCACUUCACAUGUUUCUAGCGAUUCACAUGGCAUCAUCAAAUGAUACAAGUCUUGGAUAAGAAUCUACAAUGCACUAGAAUGCCCUUGUUGACGAUCCUUUACUCCGACAGCAUCUAGGGUUCCUCGAACAAUGUGAUAUC